rnacentral:rRNA from 1 species
CACGAAAAAGCUUGCUUUUUUGGUGGCGACCGGCGCACGGGUGCGUAACGCGUAUGCAACCUACCCUGUACUGGAGGAUAGCCCGAAGAAAUUCGGAUUAAUACUCCAUAGUAAUACAAUUUCGCAUGUUAUUGUAUUUAAAGAUUACGGUACAGGAUGGGCAUGCGUCCCAUUAGCUAGAUGGUAAGGUAACUGGCUUACCAUGGCAACGAUGGGUAGGGGGCCUGAGAGGGUGAUCCCCCACACUGGUACUGAGACACGGACCAGACUCCUACGGGAGGCAGCAGUGAGGAAUAUUGGUCAAUGGAGGCAACUCUGAACCAGCCAUGCCGCGUGCAGGAAGA